rnacentral:rRNA from 1 species
GAUGAACGCUAGCGGCAGGCCUAAUACAUGCAAGUCGGACGGUAAAUGGCCCUUCGGGGCUAUGAGAGUGGCGCACGGGUGCGUAACGCGUAUGCAACCUACCCAAUGCUGGAGGAUAGCCCGGAGAAAUUCGGAUUAACCCUUCAUGAGGAGCGGAGAGGGCAUCCUUUCUGUUUCAAAUAUUCAUAGGCGUUGGAUGGGCAUGCGUGCUAUUAGAUAGUUGGCGGGGUAACGGCCCACCAAGUCUACGAUAGCUAGGGGAUCUGAGAGGACGGUCCCCCAUACUGGUACUGAGACACGGACCAGACUCCUACGGGAGGCAGCAGUAAGGAUAUUGGGCAAUGGAGGCAACUCUGACCCAGCCAUGCCGCGUGAAGGAUGGAGCCCUACGGGUCGUAAACUUCUUUGUCAGGGAAUAAAGUCAUCCACGUGUGGAUGUUUGC